rnacentral:rRNA from 1 species
CGUGUAGGCGGGAGUACAAGUCAGAUGUGAAAUACCGAGGCUUAACCUCGGGGCUGCAUCUGAAACUGUGUUUCUUGAGUGUCGGAGAGGAAAGUGGAAUUCCCAGUGUAGCGGUGAAAUGCGUAGAUAUUGGGAGGAACACCAGUGGCGAAGGCGACUUUCUGGACGAUAACUGACACUGAGGCGCGAAAGCGUGGGGAGCAAACAGGAUUAGAUACCCUGGUAGUCCACGCUGUAAACGAUGGAUACUAGGUGUAGGAGGUAUCGACCCCUUCUGUGCCGGAGUUAACACAAUAAGUAUCCCACCUGGGGAGUACGGCCGCAAGGUUGAA